UAUUUCGCAAUUGCGGCGGCGGCGGCAGGGAUGGCACCGGAGGAAUGACCUGACUGCUAUGGCUACUUCUCUCGAGCGUGGUGUACUUCCCUUUCCCUCUCCCACGCGGUGGCGAACCGGAGGCGACGUGGGCGGUGCAACGAUCGGGGCGAGCUCGGCGGCGCCAGCGGCCUUCUACUGCAUCCGUCUCCACCCUCGGCAGUCUUAUCGCUUGGGAAGGGGAAGAAACUAGGGAAGGAAAGGAAAAAAGAGAGGAGUUUAGGGAGUGAUGGAAGUGAUGCUGGAGACAGGCACCUGACAGUGAGAUGAUGGAGGUGGAGAAGAAGGCCCAGCCGAUGACAUAGAAGAAGAGGAGAGCUCAAUGCUGCGGAGCAAAAGGAACAACAGUAGAGUAUCAGACUUUGAUUCAGCUGAGACAUUUUAGUUUUUUCGCAAGACAUGUGAAUCCUCUCUGCGUUUUUGCUUUUGUUUAGAAUUCAAGAAUUUUCUUCCUUGUAGCUAUAAAUGAUGGUUCCGACUUAAUUGGAUGUUAGUAAUGACGUACAUAAACAAUCAAUCUAUACAGAUGUACCUAGCUGACAAUGCUAUGUCUCUGUUUGGACCUGGCUGACAAUGCUAACUCUCUGUAUAUUUGUAUUAUCGAAAUUUGCACAAACCUACAAGAAAAAUUUCUUCAAUUAAAGAUGAUUCAUUUUACGAGGAAUUUGUUUUAUAUUUAGUGAAUUUAUUAGGCAAACAAGGAAUUGGAAUUCUGCCAAGAAAUCUAGGAGCAGAAGAAGAUGCAAGACUUGCGGACUAGGCAAAUGCUGUGCAGGCGAGAAAAUGGUAAGUAUGGUGUACUCACGGCAAGACAUGAAAGCAUACACACUCACCAUAAGCUGAAUGAACGAAUGCAUCUUGUUAAUUAGUUUUGACCGCUCAAACAUGCCCGAUGUCCUCACCAGCUCAAGUUCCAUGACUUCAAGUUCACCUUGAUGUAUUCAGGUAUCGCACAGCCCAUAAAGAACCGCUGGUAAUAUGAUUAAGGCAUGUGAAUAAUCUGUUUUUCUGAAUUUGUUCAUAAGGCAAAUCCUCGAGGUUGGCAGCACAUGUCCAAUUCGAUCUGUUUCCAUUGCACACACAUGUUGUUUUUCAAUUAGCAACGCAAAUUAGCGACCGUGUCAAUGUUAUGUCUCUGUUUUCUUUUGCAAUCUGCAAGGAACUCAAAGAUAGUUCUAUGUUUGCUCACGUGCAUUCUAGUCCAUAAAUUGUUUGGGCAAUACAAGAUAGAAGAAGAUGUACAUGUUUGGUUACAAACUAAAGUUUCUUUUGAUGCUUAUGAAUUAGUUGAAUCCUGAAUUUUGUUGUUAAGAGAAUAGAUAGCUCUCUUCCCGCAAAAGAAAAGGAAGUAGCUAGAGCUCUCCUAUGAAUGUGUAUUGAGAUCUUCUGGCAAUGCUAGGAUUUUGAGGGUUUUUGUUUAAAUUAAGUGUGGACUUCUUGCUUCUGAUCAUUACAAUUACUUAAGUGUUAAUUUUGUUAUCUUGUGUGUACAAUAUGCUAUUCUCUAUUCAGCUGACUGCAUGACCAAUAUUACUUAUUCAGUAUAUGAGUAACUUAAUUUUCUUGUUUCAUGCAGUUUGGAGCAAUUCGUGAUUAGUACCAGUUUCAAAUUAGAUUUAUUUCAAUUGCAAUGAGGUACAAGACUGGCCCUCUUCCUUGCUGUCUUAUCUUUAUUGUUUAUUUGGUUGAACUAGCAUAAACCUAACUUUUAAUAUUGAUGUGUUUCCGCCCAAUUUGUGUAGUAAGCCAUGCUAGUCAUCAAUUAAUCAAUCUCAAUGUUCCCUUAAUAGAUGAUUGCUAUUGAUUUGCUGUGGCUUAGCUAUCGAGGACAAAACAUUUCCCUUUCCCCCCUAAUAGUUGUUUAUUUGCUCCUUCUAGGAGGCCUGCAUUUUGCUAAUUGUCUAUUUGCUAGAGAAGUAGUGGCAAUGAACAUUUUUAUUCUGACGCAUUAUCUGAAUAGCUUCAGAAAUUCUUAACAUGAAAAUACAUAAUAUACUUAUCUGUGUGUGGUUAAUGCUUCGUUGUUUAAAUUUUCUCUUUGUUAAAUGUUGGUGAGCAGAGUAUAUAUUCUUGAUUGAUUAUCCUGAAUCUGAAUUUGGGGAACAUGAUCUAACUACCUUCUAAAUCAGCUGAGUUGUACUGAAUGAUGGUGUGUUUGCUGCUCACACAUUUUAUUCCAAGGGCCAUUAUGACAAAUAAUGGCCACUUAUAGGUUAUUGGUAAUGCAUUUUCACACCAUACAUAUGCUUGUGCUUACCCCCGUUGGGUAGUCAAUAUGAUACUGGUGCACCAAUCAGUGGAUUUUGGUUUGUUUUAUACAUGAAAAUAAGGUAAGAGUGUUAUGUCAGCUUCAAGUCCCUCGAAACCACAUACUUUUGUUCGUGUUGUUCUAGGUUACCUUCUUUCAUGGUGGCAUAAAUCCGUCUUAUAAAAAAUAGACGUGGAUGCUUUCCUCGCCAGUUCCAUGUAAUUUUUGUCUGGUUCUGCUGUAAUUUCAGAUGUAUGUGAGUUUUUGAGGUGCACAGUUCACUAGCAUUACAUAGGUUAGCGUACCUUUGCUCCCACAUUUGCAUGACACAUGAUUUAUACUUGGAUUGUAUAUGAAUUACUGUUUGUGUAUGCAUAUGCUACUGUUUUCGCCUCUAAUAUUUUAACUUCCUACUUCAGUGGAUGUGGUAAAGUGCAACAAUACUCAAUUAGGCCGUACUGAUUUUUAUGGUCGUCUUUUUAGCUCUUUUUAGCAUCUGGCUAAGAUUAAAGAUGUAAUGGCCGUAACUAUACUUCUCGUCGAAAAGCGAUCUAUGGGAAAAAAAAUACUUGUCCUCAACUCCUCAAGAAUCUGGAGGAUGUUGUGAGAGAUCUGACCUGGGAUUGUUACUCUCAUACAACCCUAUUCACAUCCAUGUUGUACUUACACUUGCGAGCUACUCACUGGCUCUGCAAUUUGAAUGAAACAGUUCUCAUUUUCAGUCAUUUUUUCUGGGUAUUCCACACGGGAAGAAAAGCACAUUAGGCAUGCAUACAAUUGUCAAUUUUUACAGGAUGAAAUUUUUGAAUAAUUGUCAAUUAGUUUUCAGCCGAUUGCUUGUCAAUCUUCGCAGAUUUCCAGUUUAACCCGCCCUCAAUCCAGGAGUAAUCUUGUAUACCAUUCAGUUACAAGACACAAACUAGUUAAAUAUGAUGACCCCCACCAUUGUAUCUGGCACACUGAUAAAAUACAUGGUUUAGUGUGCAUUGAAACAAUAGUUAUGGAGUUUGCCUAUUUAUCUUGUUUCUCACUAUACUUUUGAUUCAUAGCGUGUUAUGGGUUCAUGUCAUUCCGAACAGUUUGGUACACCUAAUAUCCCUCUGAGAUAUCUACGCUUUCAACAUUGUGUCCAGUUUAGGGUAGUGAAGCAUAUUAAUCCUAAAGUGUUAUAUGCGCUUGUGUGUUGGGGGCCUCUAUCUGUUUGUUAGUAUACUUCGGAGAACUGAUAAUAUUCUGCUUUUCAGGUAUCUAUUCAAGUGGAUGACAGUAAAUGUAUGAGGGUAGAGAGUAAUGUCUUCUUAUUUAUGAUCGAUGUAAGAUUAUCUGAGUAGCCGUAAGAUUACAGGAGGAUGCGCCAUAUUGGUUUCGAGGCUACAGGAGGUAAUUGACUGCCAUGCAAAUAGUAAGAUUACCUUGCACUGUUUUCUUUACGGUGGUUUGGGUGCGAGGACAGGUUCUUCCUUCCAUGCUAUAAUAUUACCUCACAAACCUUUUGUUUCUUACGGUUUGUGGUUUGAGGCGUGGACGCACAAGCUGGCUGGGGUGAAGAAUAUAUAUGUGAUGUGUCUGAACUCUGGACCGAAGCAGCCUAUGUUGAUGAAUAAUUGGCACAACAAUAGAUGGACCCGUGUCCACAUCCCCAUGGACGAUAUUGCUCUCUCCAACGAAAACCGGCAAAGGUGCGUUUUAACAUCGAGUACCUUAAUUUAAGUCAUGAUCUGAGAGUACACUGGCUGAUGCACCCUUACAAAAAUCUGGAUGCUCUUUCACUUUCGGUUUUAUUAGCAAAUUGUUCAUGAAAAUAUGUAUGUUGUAUAUGUAAAGAUACAAUUUUUACUUGACAAGCGAAACAAAAUAUGAGGUUCGGACUAAAUUUCUGAUGCCAUUUUCCCAUGAUGCCCUGCAUUUUAAUGAUGAGAAUGUCAGUCGUACUAAUACGUGGAGCAAGGAAAGUUACCUUUUAGUGUUUUAGUGUAUUUCCCCAUGAUUAGAACAUGCUCGUUCAUGACUUUAGUUCUUGGUUCAGUGUUUCAAAAGCUAACCUCAUUGAGUAUUCAGAAGCGGAAAGGUGGGACAGCUCCCGGGAGUCCCGACUCCCGCUUAUCUUGUCCGUUCAGUAUUGUAAAGAUUCGUGCUGUGGUCUAUCCAGCAGCAGAGCGUUUGCAGGAUCAGGAUAAUUAAGUAGGCCACUUAUAACCAGACAAAGAGCAGCGAACAUAGGCUGUAGCACGCAGCGUAGGUUGUGUAGGUCUCUGAGAAGGUCAGGCGGGUCCAGGUUGAAGCGACAACACAUUGGCUGUGCAUGCACUGUGAAUUGAUUAAUUUUGCAUGCGAUUGGAAACUUUUGCAUGCUACAUGCCCUCUCUCCUCCUGUCGACGUUCCAUCUCUGUACCUGGCACAACUGUUCCUAGUCUGGACUGAUCGAGGUAGCUGGAACUCCAUGAAUCAAUGGUUAUAUUGUUGUGCGUAAUAGUGGUCUGCUGUACUACAAGGUUAUGACUUCUACUUGAACGCGUUUUUCAAUGUUCAACUUUAGAGUUUGAUGCCUCUACAAGCUGAACAUAUAUAACAGCGAAACUCGUUUAUUUUUGAAAUGCAAGGCCGGUGAAAAGUUAAAUAGGCCCACUCGACCCAUGCAUGGACCGUCCUGCUUUUAGUAUUUUCAGGUCUUCACAUGAUAAACUGGCAACCCUCUAGUGCAGCACCUUGCGUCUGACAGAUAAGGAGUAACAGUGCCCAAGAGGUGUGACAGGCCUGCAAAUCCAUGAACGCUGCUAUACACACGACAAGGAUGGACGAUUUACACACGAUGCUACCCAUCAAGACGUCCAUUUACACACGAUGUACUGUAUCAAGCCGUUCAAUCAGCCAUCGUGCAUGGUUCGGCCGGGCAGUGUCGUUCGCCCAGUAGUUUCGCAAAUCCAUUUGCCGGUGCAGGGCUGGCACAGAUCGCCAAGUCGGCCAGUGUGGAUGGAGGGCGAGGAUAAACGGGAGUCCCGACCCCCGGGACCUAAAAGUCCUCUCUCAUUUAGAAAAGAUUGAAGCACUAGUACUCUCUACUCCAGUGGUUAUGUUGUCGAUUCAUAUUUGUAUUGAUAUGCUGAAUUCGUCAACCAGAACCUAAAUAUGACUAUGACAUAUUUAUCCCCAGACUCAUUAUUUGAACUGGUCUCUCAUACUAGUACAUGUCACCAUUACUUAGUUGUCCAACUUCUAGAUACACUUCCAUUACUAUGUUUUGUAGGCAGCCAGAAAAUGAACAUCCGCGUUGAUGUGAUCAUUGAAGAAAGCAAACUGCUCAUCUUGACAAGUAAUCGGCACGACAAUAGCUAUAACCGUGACAGUGCCCCUAGGUAGAAUAUCGCUCUCUCCAAUGCCCAUAAUGGCGAAGGUGCAUUGUAACACCGAGUAGCUUUAUUCAGAUCAUGGUUAAUCUAUACAGUAACAUUCAAUCAUGUAAAGUUCUGGGAAAUUGGGUUAACAACAUUGUUUAACACUUCAAUUGUUCAGUCUGAUAUAAUCACGCCUUACGCACACAAGUUAAGUCUUUUGCCUCUUGA